AUUUGUUGGGCAACAAGUAAUGUUUCAAGCGUAAUUGCCGUCUAAUCUUCAGCAUUCUCCCCUCUCACACGCACAGACGAUAUCGAGUAAACCUUGAUCUGAGGGGGUCAAUAUUUAAAUUAAUCUGCGGCUAUCAAAUCUCAAUGGAAACAAAACGUCUCUCAAGUGUGCAUAUAACAAUGUUUCUGAGCUGCGGUUGGAAAACCAACUGGUGGAUUUGUGAUAGGCCUGUGAGACCUUAAGUCACACAUGAAUGCGUCCAAGAGACGGUUGCCAGGGAGGAAUUCCGGCUUACCAGGCGCGACAGUGGUCAUCGGGAUCAUGUCUCCUCUGAUGUAUUCUUCUGCGGCCACGGUAGACGCUGCCCCCGUGGCGACGACGUCAUCUUGUGCUCUGACCCCCGCUGUAAAGAAGAGUUGAAAUCAUACCCGAUCAAUUUUGAAGACUCACACGAUACAAGGUGGACAGUAAAGCAUCCAGUUACAGUCAAAUUGGGACUCCAACAACAGAUUUGUCAGGUUUAAUGCACGCCUACGAGGUAAUCCUCGCUAAUAGAGAGAGGGGAGGAAGAAGUGAUUAUAUACUCCGUGCUUUACAUUCCUCGGCUGUGCAGGCCGGAAGGCACGCAAGCAUACAAUAGAGCACUUACAGCCCUAAGAGUAUCUCAUCUCCCAGCAAGACCUUAAAUCAAUGAACGGCUGUGGAGUAAAAAAGUCCACGCUGGAGCCCUUAGCAAAUAAACCGUCGCUCACUACGAGACUUGGCCCUGCCAGCCAAAUGCGCUCACCUCCCACUGGGAAGGAGGCCGAAAGCUUCCCAGGAAAAUUUGAACACGCCAGAGGGGACGCGGUAGAAAAAUAUGUAUUAUUGUAGUGACGCGCUGCGUGCCAGAAGAGAGCGUUUCACACCGAAUACAGUGACGCGUUCUGUCCUACAAACUGGAGCUUCGUUUGGAGCGGCAUAGCUUUCUUUUUCCCAUGCCAAAGCUAACUGGGAUUACAAAUGUGUUGAACAGUUACGCACUCGUGCUAUAAUAUUUGCAUUUACAAGUUGAUUCAGGACUUUUGGCUUCACGUGGU